AGCAAUCGGCAGUGAGUUUUGUUUAUAUUAAUUUAAUAUUGUUAAAAGACUAUUUUGCCUGAGCUUAUGAACUGAGUGUUAUUGGAUUGUGUCAGAUAUUAUACACUAAUUGGAUUUGUGCUGGCCAAUUGUCAUCGCACUAAGCACAAAGAUCAUCAUGGCACCACCAUUACCAGGAAUUGAUCAACUACAGCAGCCUCCUCCUCCGCCACUGCCAACAGGGCAGCCACCCUCGGGGGGCAUUUCCUGGAUCUCUACACAUUGCCAGAAUGCUUAAGUUUUCAAGGCGCUGGAGAUUUAAUUUUGUGACACCUAAUAUGUACUAUACUACAAUUAUUAUGUUCAUAAUUCAGUGACGUUUUUCUGCUUUCUCCAGGACUAGGACUAUCGGUCUGCAUUCAAGAACUUUCAAUAUCGGUCCAAAAAUAUUGCUCGAAUUUUCGAAAAUGGCCAAAAAGUGGCCAGUGAUUAGAGUCCUUUGUCCAGAUGCGUCGAUUGACAUCGCCAUGUCCUGGAAUGUCCUUCUUAAAGCAGAGAAAGUGGACCUUUUUAGAAAGUUACAUGUCCUGCAUCCUUAGAUGACCCCAACUUUUUAUAAUGCCAUUCGAUUAGUAGAUUCUAAAGGUAAAAACCAAAACAGGGAUAAUUUUCUCCAUGUCAUAUCGCUGCAGGAUCCUCCAGGAUUAGAACUAUCGAUCUGCAUUCAAGGGUUUUUUUUGCUUUAAAAAAAAAAUGGCAAUAAUUCGCGCGUUCUUUGAAGGAUUAGGACAAAGGGACAUAUCAUAAAACUACAAUCAUCACAGCUAGUCCUGUGGUGCAAAGGACAUUUCGAUAGUUCUACGGAGAGCUGAGAUAUCAAAGAUUUUAUGGUUUUUGGCUUUUUUGCGAAGUUUUUUCCCAUUUUGGAGCAAUAUUCAAAAAAAAAAAAAUGGAAACACAGAUCGAAAGUCCUAACAGUUAUAAUGAAAACUAAAACUAAGUGUUGCAUACGUUUUUGGGUAAAAAGAUAUAGCUAAUAUUAUAAAAUAGAUCUUUAGAAGGAAUAUGGCGAAUAUGGUAUCAAACCAAUCAUCUUUUUCAAGGACUAUUAUUUGUCAAAGGUUCAUCUCAAUAGUCUUGCCAGGAGCUGAGAUAUUAAGGACUUUAUAGCUUGUAGAAUGUUUUUCGUAUAUUUGGAACCCUUAAGAAUAUGUGAUGCAUGCUUUGCGGCGGCCGGGAGUCCCUGCCUAUGCGAGUCGACUGGUAUUUUAGCUAUGCUCUUGAUGACAUGUAGCGUUUGGCAUAGAAAAAGUUUUGGCAUCUCGAAAACAUCCUUAAUCUGAGCUUUUUCAUGGACUUCCAUUUGGCUAAAGAACAUCCCUAAAUCGACCAAGCUAAUCAUUUUUUGCACACUUUCAGAGAUAAAAAAGGAUUUAUAAAUAUCUUGCGAGUCCUAAAAAGGAUAAGCACGAAUAUUGUGUUAAACAUAUCCUUUCAUCAAGGAGUUUAAUCUGAGAUAUUAAGAGCUUUUUGGUUUUCUGGCAUACUUUUAAACGUUUAAGCUUAUUUCAAAAAGCCCACUAUGCAUUUACGUUUAGCAGGAUAGUAGUUGAUAUUUAUAAAUUCUUAUUUUUUUCUAGUUUUGACACCACAGCCAAGUUAAGGUCCUGUGGCCCUGGGGCAAACUGAAAUUUGCUCAACUAGGUUCAUGUCUCUAUUUGUGGUAUUCAGUCUGUAUACUUACCAAUUUAAAGCUUUUGCUGAAAGUAAUUUUACUCGAUAAACUUUGGCAUUAAGCUUUUAUAGCUCUUUUAAAUUCUGAUCGAUUUCAAAUAGAAAUAUAGGCUUGGCAUAGCAAACAAUAAGUAAAUUAAAUGAAAAGAUAAUUUUGUUAGGUAAAUAGCUUUUUUUGUCCAUAGCUUAAAUAGAUUUGCCAGUUUCUUGGCUAAAAUUUGCCAACUUUUAUGAAUUCCUUUUUGAAUUUUCAUCAUCGCAAAAGCUUGUUUUGUAGCUUUAUGAAAUUUUUGUUAACCACCUACAUUUUGCCAGGAUAGAGAGAGAGAACGAUAGUGCCACUCUUCUAAUUCAAAAAACAAGUGAUUUCUUACGAUAUUAUUUAUUAACUACCUACAGCGAUUAGGAUUAGAUCGAGCGAUUAAGCUUUAAUUCAAAGCCUUAAAUAAAAGAGACAGGUUUCCAAAUAAAUAUUGUAUGUUUAUUGAAACUCAAUUUGAUAUAUAAUAUACAUAUUAUUUUUGUGUA